ACAAUGGACAGGAGAAAUGAUUACACGUAUUCAAGUUAUUAUAAGACUCGUUUGACAAAGACUGUGUAUCCAUGUCAUCUGUCUCUAUGGACUGAUCAGAAUGCGAAGCACCUGAUUCCAUACGGGAUUCAUUAUCAAGUAUCAGAAACGUCAGAUUCAUCAUUACUGCUUGAGCUAGAAUCAUCUGGAGGUAUUACAUAAUUUACCCUUCGUCUUGGAUAACCUUUAACAGCUUUGCGUUCGGGCCAUUCAGCAAUGUCAGCAAGCCUAAUCUGAUCUGCAUGUACUUGAACAACCGAGUUGUCAAGCUGGUUCUUAAUAAGGACCUCCCUAAAGGCAGAACUUGUAAAUUCUGAUCCUCGGUCAUGAAUUAUCUGGAGAGGACAUCCAUAUUUAGGAUAUAUCUCAUUCAAAAAAUCUGGUGGCCGUGAAAAGAAAUCAGCAAUAACAUUUGCCUUUCCUGGAAGAUACUCUAUCUUACAGUUGUAACCACUAAUAGACAAUGCCCAUAACUGAAUUUUCUUGUUUUGCAUUGGACUUUUUAAUAAAUACUGAAGCGGAGAA
rnacentral:lncRNA from 1 species